CACGUAGGUCCCGAGCGUUGUCCGGAUUUAUUGGGCGUAAAGCGAGCGCAGGUGGUUUAUUAAGUCUGGUGUAAAAGGCAGUGGCUCAACUAUUGUAUGCAUUGGAAACUGGUAGACUUGAGUGCAGGAGAGGAGAGUGGAAUUCCAUGUGUAGCGGUGAAAUGCGUAGAUAUAUGGAGGAACACCGGUGGCGAAAGCGGCUCUCUGGCCUGUAACUGACACUGAGGCUCGAAAGCGUGGGGAGCAAACAGG
rnacentral:rRNA from 1 species